UUUUUUUUUAAGAGCGAGAGAGAAUUUUUAUUUAUUUAUUUAUUUUAGUUUUCCGUGGACACAACAUCUUUGUUUGUAUGUGGUGCUGAGAAUUGAACCCGGGCCGCAUGCAUACCAGGCAAGCACGCUACCGCUUGAGCCACAUCCCCAGCCCAACUUUGUGGUACUUUUUAGGAAAAUUUUCUGCACAUCUCUUAGUUUUCUAUAAAACUUUUUGCACAACAGUCAAAACCUCAGCUAACAGUAGAACAAGUAAAUUUCAUGUUUCUUUUACAACUAGAAAUUGAAUAUAGCCAGGUAUUAACAUGCUCUGGCUCUGAAGUCCUUGGUCCUGGACCACAGUAUUGAUUCUAUGACAAUAUGAUGAGUACUUUUGGCCUUGGGACAGUUGACUGGUAGUUAGGAUGAUGAACAGCAUGGUGACCUUAUAGAAUGUCAUGUAUAUUUCUACUUCUCAGGUAUUAGUAUCAGACAUAUGUGCACAGGGCAGUAAGUAUGAGAAAAAAGGUAAAAUAGAUGAUAAUUUUAUUCCCAUUACCAUAUCCCUUACAAAGCAUCUGUUUGGGUAAAUAGUUAGUCCAAAACAAAGUGAAUUGAGUUUAUGGAUUAGGGAGUUUAGAACCUAUACAUUCCUUGAGAAGUUAUUUGAUUUCCUAAAGAUCUCUCUACAGGUAAUAGGAAAAGCCUCACAGGCUCAGGAUCAGUUCUGUUCAGCAUCAAAGGAUAGCAUUGCCUUGUUGAACAGAGCUGGCUGUGCAAGCAGGGAGACAGUAGAGGAAAAUAAAAUGAACCGUGCAUUGCUGAACUUGAUGCAGCUGUCUUGUAACUAGCUAGUGACCUUAGGCAAGUCCCUUCUUUGUAACAACUGUAGCAAAAGCUUAUUGGCAAUUAGGAAUCAAGUAUUAAACCAAGUGCUUUGUAGACAUCCUUUUGGGCCCUCAGAACACCCCUCUGCAGUAUAAAUUGUUACCUCGUUUUGCAAAUGAAGAUGUUUAGGAAAGGGUUCAAUGCCCUGUCCCAGGUUCCUGAACUGGUAAGUAGUGGUGCUGGAAUUUUUUUCUUUUCAUCCAUGAACUCAGGUACCAUCGAUCUCUAGUCUGCUAUGCUAAAAUGAAGAAAGGAGCAGAAAAACAAAAAUUGGGUGAGAAGAGAAAGGAGAUGAUUCUUCUAGUAGGUGAGAAGGGGAAAAGGAAGUUUUUAGAGAACAGGAUUUACAGGAGUUGAGAAUAAUGGGAAAGGUAGGGAAAGAUUAAAGUAGAAGGUGGGUAUGUUGGUAUGUUUCUAUCUAGAAAGAAACACCCCAGGUGGAAAAGGAUAUUUUAUGCCCUUUGCAAGUCAUUUUUUUUUCCCUCUCAUUCAUUCUCUGCACCUAAUAGCUCACCAAAUCCUAAAUUUCUUUUGAUUGUUUUCCCAUUGUAGUUGCAUUGCACUUGGUCCUCAUCAUCUCUGCACCUCCACCCCCGGCCCCUAGCAACCAUCUAUUUCCAGGCACAAACCACUAAUGUUCGGCUUCCACAUGAGUUUCAAGGGUAUUGAUUCUAGCUUGGCUCUUGUGUCAUUUCUCUGGCAUUUCCCCCUGAUUCUUAAUCAUAUAUUCACUAUGCACUAGAGUUAACUACUUAUUGUCCCUACAAUAAGCCAUNGAUGGGGCCAUAGGUUUUUUCCUGAGGGCCAAAUACUGGCUGGCCUCGUGGUCAUAAUAGGCAUCAUAAAUAAAAACAAUUGGCAAGCAUCCCACUGCUGACUAUAAUGCCUCUUAAAUGCUUUUAGGAACUAGCAUUGUAGUGCCCUGCCACAGUGGGCAGCCAACCAAAGCAACUCAUCCAUC
rnacentral:lncRNA from 1 species